rnacentral:rRNA from 1 species
CCUACGGGAGGCAGCAGUGAGGAAUAUUGGUCAAUGGGCGAGAGCCUGAACCAGCCAAGUCGCGUGAGGGAGUACUGCCCUAUGGGUUGUAAACCUCUUUUGUCGGGGAGCAAAAGCCGGACGUGUCCGGCUGUGAGAGUACCCGACGAAAACGCAUCGGCUAACUCCGUGCCAGCAGCCGCGGUAAUACGGAGGAUGCGAGCGUUAUCCGGAUUUAUUGGGUUAAAAGGGUGCGCAGGCGGAUUUUUAAGUCAGCGGUAAAAUCGUGGGGCUCAACCCCAUCCAGCCGUGGAAACUGGGGAUCUAGAGUGUGCGAGAGGUAUGCGGAAUGCGUGGUGUAGCGGUGAAAUGCAUAGAUAGCACGCAGAACCCCGAUUGCGAAGGCAGCAUACCGGUGCACAACUGACGCUCAGGCACGAAAGCGUGGGUAUCGAACAGGAUUAGAUACCCGUGUAGUC